UUUAUGGAGAGUUUGAUCCUGGCUCAGAGUGAACGCUGGCGGCGUGCCUAAUACAUGCAAGUCGAACGAUGAAGCUUCUAGCUUGCUAGAGUGCUGAUUAGUGGCGCACGGGUGAGUAACGCAUAGGUCAUGUGCCUCUUAGUUUGGGAUAGCCAUUGGAAACGAUGAUUAAUACCAGAUACUCCCUACGGGGGAAAGAUUUAUCGCUAAGAGAUCAGCCUAUGUCCUAUCAGCUUGUUGGUAAGGUAAUGGCUUACCAAGGCUAUGACGGGUAUCCGGCCUGAGAGGGUGAACGGACACACUGGAACUGAGACACGGUCCAGACUCCUACGGGAGGCAGCAGUAGGGAAUAUUGCUCAAUGGGGGAAACCCUGAAGCAGCAACGCCGCGUGGAGGAUGAAGGUUUUAGGAUUGUAAACUCCUUUUGUUAGAGAAGAUAAUGACGGUAUCUAACGAAUAAGCACCGGCUAACUCCGUGCCAGCAGCCGCGGUAAUACGGAGGGUGCAAGCGUUACUCGGAAUCACUGGGCGUAAAGAGCGCGUAGGCGGGAUAGUCAGUCAGGUGUGAAAUCCUAUGGCUUAACCAUAGAACUGCAUUUGAAACUACUAUUCUAGAGUGUGGGAGAGGUAGGUGGAAUUCUUGGUGUAGGGGUAAAAUCCGUAGAGAUCAAGAGGAAUACUCAUUGCGAAGGCGACCUGCUGGAACAUUACUGACGCUGAUUGCGCGAAAGCGUGGGGAGCAAACAGGAUUAGAUACCCUGGUAGUCCACGCCCUAAACGAUGGAUGCUAGUUGUUGGAGGGCUUAGUCUCUCCAGUAAUGCAGCUAACGCAUUAAGCAUCCCGCCUGGGGAGUACGGUCGCAAGAUUAAAACUCAAAGGAAUAGACGGGGACCCGCACAAGCGGUGGAGCAUGUGGUUUAAUUCGAAGAUACACGAAGAACCUUACCUAGGCUUGACAUUGAGAGAAUCCGCUAGAAAUAGUGGAGUGUCUAGCUUGCUAGACCUUGAAAACAGGUGCUGCACGGCUGUCGUCAGCUCGUGUCGUGAGAUGUUGGGUUAAGUCCCGCAACGAGCGCAACCCCCUUUCUUAGUUGCUAACUGGUUGUGCUGAGAACUCUAAGGAUACUGCCUCCGUAAGGAGGAGGAAGGUGGGGACGACGUCAAGUCAUCAUGGCCCUUACGCCUAGGGCUACACACGUGCUACAAUGGGGUGCACAAAGAGAAGCAAUACUGCGAAGUGGAGCCAAUCUUCAAAACACCUCUCAGUUCGGAUUGUAGGCUGCAACUCGCCUGCAUGAAGCUGGAAUCGCUAGUAAUCGCAAAUCAGCCAUGUUGCGGUGAAUACGUUCCCGGGUCUUGUACUCACCGCCCGUCACACCAUGGGAGUUGUGUUUGCCUUAAGUCAGGAUGCUAAAUUGGCUACUGCCCACGGCACACACAGCGACUGGGGUGAAGUCGUAACAAGGUAACCGUAGGUGAACCUGCGGUUGGAUCACCUCCUUU
rnacentral:rRNA from 1 species